rnacentral:rRNA from 1 species
UGGGGAAUAUUGCACAAUGGGCGCAAGCCUGAUGCAGCCAUGCCGCGUGUGUGAAGAAGGCCUUCGGGUUGUAAAGCACUUUCAGCGGGGAGGAAGGCGAUAAGGUUAAUAACCUUGUCGAUUGACGUUACCCGCAGAAGAAGCACCGGCUAACUCCGUGCCAGCAGCCGCGGUAAUACGGAGGGUGCAAGCGUUAAUCGGAAUUACUGGGCGUAAAGCGCACGCAGGCGGUCUGUCAAGUCGGAUGUGAAAUCCCCGGGCUUAACCUGGGAACUGCGUUCGAAACUGGCAGGCUAGAGUCUUGUAGAGGGGGGUAGAAUUCCAGGUGUAGCGGUGAAAUGCGUAGAGAUCUGGAGGAAUACCGGUGGCGAAAGCGGCCCCCUGGACAAAGACUGACGCUCAGGUGCGAAAGCGUGGGGAGCAAACAGG